AAUAAAAGGCCAAACCUUUGCUCAAACUUUCUCCUCAGCUUCCCUUUGGAUCUGGAAAGCUGGGGACCCACACGGCAGAGCCAUGGUACUGGAGGAGCCAUUAACAAAUAGAGUUUCAAUCUUGUUGCCCAGGCUGGAGUGCAAUGGUGCGAUCUCAGUUCACCCCAACCUCCGCCUCCCAGGAGAAUCGCUUGAACCCGGGAGGCAGAGGUUGCAGUGAGCUGAGAUUGCACCACUGUACUCCAGCCUGGUGACAGAGUGAGACUCCGUCUCAAAAAAAUAAAAAAAGAAAAAAGAAACAUAACAACAUUAGAGUUUCUAGCUUAUAUCCCAAUAUCUUGGCCAUUCAUUAGAACCCUGGUUAGGCUCCUCUCUUAUCAACUUACCCUCAUGACCAGCUUCUGCCUCCUGUUCCCAUCAGAGGAGGUUUAAGGCCAAUUAGCAACAUGUGUCUUUCAUCCUUUUCUUUUCUUCUACUGUGGAGGUUCAUCACAGUACUUCUAUCAGUUCACCAGAUGAAAGAGGCAUCCAUCUGUGCCUCUUCAUCUGUUGGUUGGAAUGCAGCACAUAUGAUAAGUGGGUAUUGAGUGGACCUGGACUGGAGUCACAAUCACUGAUUAUGUGCUGGAAGUCAGAGGGGGACAGGGAAAGUCCCCCUUUCCUAGGAAAAGGGUCCUCAAGUUGCCAAGAAAAGCAAGAGAUCAAAUUCCCCCGAGGAGUGGAUUUCUGACCACUCCUUGGUUUGUUUUUUGUUUUUGUUUUGUUUUGUUUUGUUUGUUUUUUGCUUGAGUUAAUUUAAGUUAGUUUCUAUUACUUGCAACUAAGAAGUUUUAAUGAAUUCACUUGAAAUACUAUUGUUAGGAAGGAAACAACUUGCUUGAGAGGUCAAGCUUAGGCUGAAAGUCAACGUUGGCCAAGGCACUUAGAGAGCAAUUAAUCCUCGUGGCAAGGCAGGGAUGGGGUGGAGGGGAUAGAUGAUUUCUAAGGUCCUUUCUAAGAGGAUAAGAGUGCUUCCCCUGGUCAGUGGUUCUGGCUAGUCUCCUCCCUCCCUUCAAAAUGCGAAGCAAAAGGCAGGGAGAAGGUCUCCUUGCAGAUCUUCAGCUCUCUCAGGGAAAGAGACCCACGUCACUCCCAGCAGAGUCCUGCAUGGCAGCAAGGGGCCAGGGCGGGAGAAGAACAAAAGACACCUGGAGAAGAAAGGCAGUGCCUUUCCCUGCAGCAGCCAGGGCUGCAGAUAUGAUGGAGCAGGGGAGAUGGUCUCUUCUAGAGCAGCAUGAGCCGAGUUACACAGAUGAUGUAAGGAAGAAGUAGAGAAACUGCAGUCUCAGCUCAGAGUUUUCCUUACAUGCUUGUGAAAAUAAAGUCACCCUCUGUUGCAGGCUGAAUAAUGGCCCCCCAGGAUGUCCACAUUCUAAUCCCUGGAACCUGUCCAUGUUUUAUUAUAUGGCAAAAGAGACUUUGUAGAUGUGAUUAAAUUAAGGCUCUUGAAAUUGGGAGAUUAUCCUGGAUUAUCAGAGUAGGCUUGAUGUAAUCACAAGAGUCCUUCUAAGAGAAAAGCAGGAUGCAGCCCCCUGAUGACAGAAGCAGAGAGGAAAGCAGAGUUGGAGACAGAAGACGCUGUGCUAUUGGCUUCCUAAAGACAGAGGAAAGGGCCACAAACCAAAGAAUACACUUGUAUUCUUCAGUAAAUAGCAGCUGCCUUGGAGUGUUGCUUGUUAUUAAAUGAUUCAAUACAUGUAAUAGUAAUCGUUCAAUAAAUGCUUGCUAUUAUACCCUUGGAUGUCUUAGAGCUGCACUGUCCAAUAUGGUAGCCACAAGCCACAUGUGACCAUUCGACACAGGUGUGGCUUUUCCGAAUUGAGGUAUGCUGUAUGUGUAAAAUAACACACCAAAAUUCAGAUACUGAGUACAAAACAAAGAAUGUAAAAUAGCUCAGUAAUCUUAAUAUUAAUUAUUUGUUGAAAUAACAUUUUUAACAUAUCCAAUUAAAUAAAAUAUAUUAAAAUUAAA
rnacentral:lncRNA from 1 species